rnacentral:piRNA from 1 species
GCAAAGCAGGUGGGUCCCUUUGA